UUAUCUUAGGUAUAAUUAUUUUGGUGGAAGACUUUUCUUUAUAUAUAUCUUUGCAAAUCUAGUUUUAGAAGAGGGAGAAGAGGUCCCUCCUAUUUGCUCUCUGAUACAUUCACAGGUUGCAUCUAUAUAUUAUUCAUUUCUCUGCAAUUCUCUACAGAUCAUCUUCCACAGACAUUGAAUUCUUAGUUUUUAUUGUUCUUUAAAGAUCUAAGAAGCUGUUCAAGAAAUUAAGAGUAAGGAUCAACUAUCUUUCCACUUAAAGGAUUCUGGAUUUCAAGAACGCUUUUAUUUUUUUGUUUUGUUACAUGUCUUUCUAUUUAAUUACAAUGAUUAUUAGAUUAAAAUUUUAUAAGUAUUUAGUUUAGUUUUUUUACUUAUAUAUGAAUCUUGUUUUCUUUUUAUUUAAUGAGUGAUUUUUUUGCCUUCAUAUCUUUAUUAAUUUCAGUUAUUAUUGUUGGUUGACCAUCAUAUCAAUUUAGUAAUAAUAAUUAUUAUGAAAAUAUUUAGGUUGAAUGUAUUAGAAAAUACCAUCUUUGCUUCAAUCUAUAUUGGUAUAAGAACCUUUAGUUACAUCAUUAGCUUGAGUAAUUAAAUAAAAAAGAAUAUCACCAUCUCAUUCAUUAGAUCUAAGCUUAAGGUUAAAACAAAAGGAUUACUAAGUAACUGGCUAGGCUAAAUACUAUUUUCAUUAUAUAGUUCUAAAUUAUAAGAUUUCCAUUGCAUAUUUAUUUAUUAUUUAGUUACUUUAUGAAUAUUAUUCUCUCAAAAUACUAGUUUACAGUAUUUAAAUUUAGUUUUAUUAUUUUGUAUUGAUAAUUAGUUAGUUUAUAUAAUAAGUGGCCUUAUAAUUAUUUUAGAGAUCGACCUCGUAAUAUUUAUUACUUUUAAUAUAGAAACGGUUCGUACACUUGCAAGUACUAACUUAAAACAUCAUAAGUAUAAUCAAAAUGCUAUUAACUAAUGCUUCUUUAUACUUACUUUAGCGUAGUGGUAUAUUGAAGUCAGUACUCAUAAAACUAUGAGAUUACAUAAUUCACUUUGGCACAGCAGUGACUGUCAGAUUUCAAAUUCGAAUCCAAUCAUCUCAAUCUCUUCUUCCAAUCUAAAAUAAGGAGUAAUGACUAUAUAUUCCUAUAUUUCUUUAUAUUACAUCACUUAUCCUUUAAAUAUUCUAAAAUUAAUAUUUUUUAUUUUUUUAUUUUAUAAUUUUAUACUAGAAGUCUCUUCCAUCAAAAUUUUCGUUAAACAAUGUUAACAAGAUUUAGUUUUAUACUAUUUACCCAUAAUUGCUAGUAUAAUAUAUAAAUUGCUCCUUAUAUUUUAUUUAUUGUACUAAAAUUGCUUUACUU
rnacentral:lncRNA from 1 species